rnacentral:rRNA from 1 species
UACGUAGGGGGCAAGCGUUGUCCGGAAUCAUUGGGCGUAAAGAGCGCGUAGGCGGCCCGAUAAGUCCGCUGUGAAAGUCAAGGGCUCAACCCUUGAAUGCCGGUGGAUACUGUCGGGCUAGAGUGCGGAAGAGGCGAGUGGAAUUCCUGGUGUAGCGGUGAAAUGCGCAGAUAUCAGGAGGAACACCAAUUGCGAAGGCAGCUCGCUGGGACGUUACUGACGCUGAGACGCGAAAGCGUGGGGAGCAAACAGG